GGUGUGAUUCAUGACUGGGGUGAAGUCGUAACAAGGUAGCCGUAGGGGAACCUGCGGCUGGAUCACCUCCUUAAUCGACGA
rnacentral:rRNA from 2 species